UGGCACGGCCGGGGGGCACCGCGACCUCGGCCAGAUGUUUUGGGCGGUGCCAGGCUGGCCGUGCCACAGCUGCCACCAUCCACGCGGGAUGCUGGGGCUGCCAUCAAUCCAGGAUGCUCCUGGAUGCUGAGAGAGUUUCUGGCAGCGCCUGGACAAGGCUGGAGCCUUCACCUCCGAAAGCUUUUCCACGUUCUGAGCGCGGUGAUGGAAACGGAGAGCGGGAGUUGCUGCCUGGCAAAGUGCUGAUGAAGAUUUCUGCUGGAUGCAAGAUGAGGUCCUUCCUUGUGCUACCCCUGCCUGUUGAAGGGAUGGCUCAGAGCAGAGUGAGGAUGGGAAUGCAGAACCUGAGCACAAAUCCCAGUCUCAGUGGUUGCAACUCUGUCCUCAGCAGCUUUUUACCUGGAGAGAAAAUAAAGAUUGCCCAAAACUCCCCAUUAAAUUGAAGAAUAAAAUAUUGAUGUGUCCUAAAAGA